CCUACGGGGGGCAGCAGUGGGGAAUAUUGGACAAUGGGCGAAAGCCUGAUCCAGCCAUGCCGCGUGUGUGAAGAAGGCCUUCGGGUUGUAAAGCACUUUCAGUGGGGAAGAAAGCCUUGGGGCUAAUACCCUCGAGGAAGGACAUCACCCACAGAAGAAGCACCGGCUAACUCCGUGCCAGCAGCCGCGGUAAUACGGAGGGUGCGAGCGUUAAUCGGAAUUACUGGGCGUAAAGCGCGCGUAGGCGGUCUAAUAAGCCGGUUGUGAAAGCCCCGGGCUCAACCUGGGAACGGCAUCCGGAACUGUCAGGCUAGAGUGCAGGAGAGGAAGGUAGAAUUCCCGGUGUAGCGGUGAAAUGCGUAGAGAUCGGGAGGAAUACCAGUGGCGAAGGCGGCCUUCUGGACUGACACUGACGCUGAGGUGCGAAAGCGUGGGUAGCAAACAGGAUUAGAUACCCUGGUAGUC
rnacentral:rRNA from 1 species